rnacentral:rRNA from 1 species
UACGUAGGGUGCAAGCGUUAAUCGGAAUUACUGGGCGUAAAGCGUGCGCAGGCGGUUCUAUAAGACAGAUGUGAAAUCCCCGGGCUCAACCUGGGAACUGCAUUUGUGACUGUAGAGCUGGAGUGCGGCAGAGGGGGAUGGAAUUCCGCGUGUAGCAGUGAAAUGCGCAGAUAUCAGGAGGAACACCAAUGGCGAAGGCAGCUCACUGGGACGGUACUGACGCUGAGACGCGAAAGCGUGGGGAGCAAACAGG